CAUCCCUCCCAAGCCAGCAACCCCUUGCCGCCCCAGUCACCUUCCUCAAAGCCCCCCCCCCAAAGCCACUGCUCCACCCCCCGGUCGGCCCGCAAGGACUAGGCAGAGGCCGCCCGCAAUCGGGCCGGUCUGGUCCACUUGGGGGACGAACUGUACUCGUCCCCUCUGCGCCACGAAGAGGCAGGCCCAGGUGACUGCGCGCGUGACUCCAGGUUCCGGGCCGGGAGCCGGGGGCGAAGGGAGGGCGGGAUGGGAGCGCCCGUGGCCCAGGUCUUCCUGGGGGUGGCGUGCGCGGCUCUCCCUUCCACCUUCCUCCGUCGACUCUGCCUCACCGCGUGUGAGGCUCCCGCGUGGCCUCGAGUCUGGUCGCCUGUCCCGCGCCUCCCAGCGCGUCCCUGCGGGACCCGGAUCCGGGUCCUUGACUGCGAACUGCCAGGAAGGCCCAAAGUUGACGCCUCUUUCGGACAAGUGUCGUAAAGCAUUCACGAGAAUGCCUGUCACCGGACAGCCCGCCUCUGGCACGACGUGAAGCCUCGCUGUCCCUUGGGAAGGAAGGAGAAAGAGGCUGCGGGCACGGACGCCAUCAGCAGCACAGGUAGCUCAGAUUAAAGUUGGCUUAGUCUUCUAAAAUAAAUCAAUGGGAAAAACAGGCUGCAAGUGCGGAGGCUCGACGCGGUGGCUCCGCACGCGGCCGCCUGCGAGGGUGGCCUGGCUUGGCUGGAACUCCGUCUCCGGUGACCGCGGAGAGCGCAGGCCGCGCGAGGAGCGAGCCGCUGCGGCGCGGGCCCCAUGGCCGCCUCUCCGGGACAGCAGGGACUGGGAUGCUCAGCCCACGCGCGACGGGUGUCCAGGCUAGCGGCGCCGCCCAGGCUUGGGCAGCCACUUGGCCGCUCUUGUUUUCGGUGCCGUCCGAGCUGGAACGCCAGAGAACGGUAGGCGCGCAGGAAAACUGGAGAGCUGCUUCGCGAUCGCGAUCACUUUGUAACAAUUACAGGGACA